CACCAUAUUUCAUGAUUAGUCUCACGAUUUCGUUAACUUCCACCUAAGACCGACACUUGACUAGUCAACAAGUCGUGCUUGAUCGUGGACACGACUACUCGAAUAGCUUUAACUCUGCAAUGGGUGUACUCUUUACCCACAACCCACGGGUUUCAAUAUUCACUCGGACUAAUCCCGUGUAUGGUAUCUCAGAAGUAAACACUCAGAACCAGUACACACCCAUUUUUCCACCAAGCAGAUCUGACUCACCAGGACUACACUGCCAUGGAAAACCAUUUUUCCACCAUGCAGAUCAAAUUUAUACCACGCGCUAAAAGGGAAUGGUCAUUCCCUCUCGGUCCCAUACAGGAA
rnacentral:lncRNA from 1 species